rnacentral:rRNA from 1 species
UACGUAGGGUGCAAGCGUUGUCCGGAAUUAUUGGCCGUAAAGAGCUCGUAGGCGGUUUGUCGCGUCUGCUGUGAAAACUCGGGGCUUAACUCCGGGCCUGCAGUGGGUACGGGCAGACUAGAGUGCGGUAGGGGAGACUGGAAUUCCUGGUGUAGCGGUGAAAUGCGCAGAUAUCAGGAGGAACACCGGUGGCGAAGGCGGGUCUCUGGACAGUUCCUGACACUGAGACACGAAGGCCAGGGGAGCAAACGGG